ACUCAAAUGAAUUGACGGGGGCCCGCACAAGCAGCGGAGCAUGUGGCUUAAUUCGAAGCAACGCGAAGAACCUUACCAGGGCUUGACAUAUGGGUGAAGCGGGGGAGACCCCGUGGCCGAGAGGAGCCCAUACAGGUGGUGCAUGGCUGUCGUCAGCUCGUGUCGUGAGAUGUUGGGUUAAGUCCCGCAACGAGCGCAACCCCCGCCGCGUGUUGCCAUCGGGUGAUGCCGGGAACCCACGCGGGACCGCCGCCGUCAAGGCGGAGGAGGGCGGGGACGACGUCAAGUCAUCAUGCCCCUUAUGCCCUGGGCUGCACACGUGCUACAAUGGCCGGUACAGAGGGAUGCCACCCCGCGAGGGGGAGCGGAUCCCGGAAAGCCGGCCCCAGUUCGGAUUGGGGGCUGCAACCCGCCCCCAUGAAGUCGGAGUUGCUAGUAAUCGCGGAUCAGCAUGCCGCGGUGAAUGCGUUCCCGGGCCUUGUACACACCGCCCGU
rnacentral:rRNA from 1 species